GAUGAACGCUGGCGGCGUGCCUAACACAUGCAAGUCGAACGGAGUUAUAAUUAUGAAGUUUUCGGAUGGAUUAAUAAUAACUUAGUGGCGGACGGGUGAGUAACGCGUGGGUAACCUGCCUCAUACAGGGGGAUAACAGUUGGAAACGGCUGCUAAAACCGCAUAACAUUGCGAUGUCGCAUGACAAUGCAAUUAAAUAUUUAUAGGUAUGAGAUGGGCCAGCGUCUGAUUAGCUAGUUGGUGGGGUAAUGGCCUACCAAGGCGACGAUCAGUAGCCGGCGUAAGAGGGUGCGCGGCCACAUUGAGACUGAGACACGGGCCAAAGUCCUACGGGAGGCGGCAGUGGGGAAUAUUGCACAAUGGAGGAAACCCUGAUGAAGCGAGGCAUGGUGAGUGAAGAAGUAUUUAGGUAUGUAAAGCUCUAUCAGCAGGGAAGAAAAUGACGGUACCUGACUAAGAAGCCCCGGCUAACUACGUGCCAGCCGCCGCCGUAA
rnacentral:rRNA from 1 species